rnacentral:rRNA from 1 species
UGAGUAAUAUAUCGGAACGUGCCCAGUCGUGGGGGAUAACGUAGCGAAAGCUACGCUAAUACCGCAUACGAUCUACGGAUGAAAGCGGGGGAUCGCAAGACCUCGCGCGAUUGGAGCGCGAUAUCAGAUUAGGUAGUUGGUGAGGUAAAGGCUCACCAAGCCGACGAUCUGUAGCUGGUCUGAGAGGACGACCAGCCACACUGGGACUGAGACACGGCCCAGACUCCUACGGGAGGCAGCAGUGGGGAAUUUUGGACAAUGGGCGCAAGCCUGAUCCAGCAAUGCCGCGUGCAGGAUGAAGGCCUUCGGGUUGUAAACUGCUUUUGUACGGAACGAAAUGGUGAGCUCUAAUACAGUUUGCUAAUGACGGUACCGUAAGAAUAAGCACCGGCUAACUACGUG